rnacentral:rRNA from 1 species
UACGUAGGGGGCAAGCGUUGUCCGGAUUUAUUGGGCGUAAAGAGCGUGUAGGCAGUUUGGUAGGUCCGCUGUGAAAACUCGAGGCUCAACCUCGAGACGCCGGUGGAAACCAUCAGACUAGAGUCCGGAAGAGGAGAGUGGAAUUCCUGGUGUAGCGGUGAAAUGCGCAGAUAUCGGGAAGAACACCCGUGGCGAAGGCGGCUCUCUGGGACGGUACUGACGCUGAGACGCGAAAGCGUGGGGAGCGAACAGG